UCGUGCUCUCGUGCCGCUUCGUUUCACAUCUUCGUUGUUGUUUUUAUGGAGACCACUCACUUGCCUGGACCGUUGAAAAUGACAACUGGAAAACCUGCACGGCUUCGGGAAAAGAAACGCUGAUAAGAAAAGUGCACCGGUGGUUAGUCCCGCGGUGAGGAGCUCGUCUCGAAUGUUGAAAAACUCUCCCCGUCGACUCGCAUUAG